GACGAACGCUGGCGGCGUGCUUAACACAUGCAAGUCGAACGGAAAGGCCCCUUUGGGGGUACUCGAGUGGCGGACGGGCGGGUAACACGCGAGUAAGCUGCCCUCGCCUUACGGAUAACUUCAGGAAAGUGGGGCUGAUUCCGGAUAGGUAUCCCCGCUGCCUGGUGGGGGUUGGAAAGCAUCGUCGGUUUUGGAUGGACUCGCGGCUUAUCAGCUUGUUGGUGGGGUAGUGGCUUACCAAGGCUUUGACGGGUAGCCGGCCUGAGAGGGCGACCGGACACAUUGGGACUGAGAUACGGCCCAGACUCCUACGGGGGGCAGCAGGGGGGAAUAUUGCACAAUGGGCGGAAACCUGAUGCAGCAACGCCGCGGGCGGGAUGACGGCCUUCGGGUUGUAAACCGCUUUCAGCAGGGGCGAAGCUUGUGGUGACGGUACCUGCAGAAGAAGCACCGGCUAACUACGUG
rnacentral:rRNA from 1 species